UACGUAGGGGGCAAGCGUUAUCCGGAUUUACUGGGUGUAAAGGGAGCGUAGACGGCACGGCAAGCCAGAUGUGAAAGCCCGGGGCUCAACCCCGGGACUGCAUUUGGAACUGCUGGGCUAGAGUGUCGGAGAGGCAAGUGGAAUUCCUAGUGUAGCGGUGAAAUGCGUAGAUAUUAGGAGGAACACCAGUGGCGAAGGCGGCUUGCUGGACGAUGACUGACGUUGAGGCUCGAAAGCGUGGGGAGCAAACAGGAUUAGAAACCCGGGUAGUCCGGCGACACU
rnacentral:rRNA from 1 species